GGACUCCCAGGUGAUACCUUACCAACAGGCACAUUCCUCAUCGUCGUUCAUGCACCACCACUACAAUAUUUCGCUGUUGAACCUACUCCAUAAGCAUCAGCAAUCUCUGCUAUAAUCUCUGUCAUUCAGGACGAUUUAGGGAUCAAUUCCAGAAUUUGGGAGACGUUUGUUUCCUCCUAAUCACAUCACAAUACAUUCAAUUAAAUUCUCUAAAGUCGGUGUCUCCCUUCUUCGCGUUUUUCUCGGCUCCUGGGCCCUCGGGCCCCGGAGCUAAAAGCCCCCGAAUUAGGGAUCAUUCCAUUUUUCGAGGAUGUCUUAGAAAAUAACAUCGAUCGCUUAUUUCUGAUACGACAAGAUUCAGAGCUAAAACUGCACAGUCAAAUCCGAAGAGCUUCAUUAUGACCAAGAACAAUGCCAAGACCGACAUUUAGGCCAUUAUUUCAUAUAAUCGCCCCAGGCUCUUCCUCACGAAUCAUCAAUUUCUUGAAUCGACGCCAAAGACCGAGCCCUGAAAGUGUCGCGAUGAGAACUGCUACAGUUAUUAUUCCGUGGAUUUACUGUGUGCGGAUUUUGGUGUGGGACGGAUAGAAUGAAAAUACUCAGCAAUUGCAGGAGGAGAAUAUUCACCUUAAGGUACCACUGAAUUCCACUCGACGAUAAGUGGAACUGAAAAAGCAAAAGAAAAUUAUUGGAUUAUAUGGAUUACUGGAACUGAGAGUUCUGUGUCGAUAGAUGACGAUAUCCUUUGGCUUAGUGACCGGUGUUUAGAGUGCGGACGUCGCUUCCUCGUGUCAUAUUAAUAAUAAAAGAAAGUAAA